UACGUAGGGUGCGAGCGUUAAUCGGAAUUACUGGGCGUAAAGCGUGCGCAGGCGGUUUUGUAAGCCAGAUGUGAAAUCCCCGGGCUUAACCUGGGAAUGGCAUUUGGGACUGCAAGGCUCGAGUGCGGCAGAGGAGACUGGAAUUCCUGGUGUAGCAGUGAAAUGCGUAGAUAUCAGGAGGAACACCGAUGGCGAAGGCAGGUCUCUGGGACGGUACUGACGCUGAGACGCGAAAGCGUGGGGAGCAAACAGG
rnacentral:rRNA from 1 species